rnacentral:lncRNA from 1 species
CAGAAAAUCCUUGCUGUGCCAAGAAGGAAAAGACCAUGGAUCUACUAGCUGCAGAUUUCAGCAGUAAUGCCAAGGGGGCAAGAAGUGACCAGCAGAACAAUUAGGCCAUGGCAACAGAAGCCAACUACAACCCAUGUUCCAAUCUAUGACCUCCCUCUCCUGCUGGUACAAGGACGUGCUCUGGAGUCUGGGAAGUUCAAGAGCAUGGCACCAGCAUCUGGCAAGGGCUUUCAUGCUGCAUCAUCUCAUGGAGGAAAAUAAAAGGGAGGUUGGAUGCUCCUGUGAAGUACGUCUUUUAUCUACUUGCUAUCUUUGCAAUUCCUUCAUGCUACAAUGAGAUAUAGAGUUUAAACCUGAAAACAUUCUUGGAAAAGGAAGCUUCAUUAAUUCAAAUAUACCACAAGGUUCUGCCACUGUGGCCAUCACCCGGGAUUGGAGAAAGGCAAAUGGAACAGACCCACUCAGAAUUACAGUCCUCAUUUAUUUCAUCAGAGGCUGGCCUGUACUUCCAUUAGCCCUUUCUGGCUAGAGCUUCAUGUCUCACCCACUGUCUGUUCACUUCUGACCUGAAACAAUGGGA